rnacentral:pre_miRNA from 1 species
CCUCAUAACAGUGUUCUGGAAUCCUAUUUGAGGGACAAACAUUCAGACCAUCGUAACAGUGUUCUGGAAUCCUAUGUGAGGGA